UAUUCCGACAAUUAUGCUGUUACCAAUAAUAUGAUUCUCUAAAAAUUCUAUAAUCUGAAUUAACAUGACCAUCCACAGCCUACUUAUCAGCCUCAUCACCCUAUUGUUUUUUAACCAAUUCAACAGUAACUCAUCCAACUUCUCACUAGUUUUCUCUUCUGAUCUGCUGAUGUCACCCCUCCUAAUUUUAACAGCCUAUUACCUUUUAUAAUCCUAGCAAGCCAAUAUUAACUGUUCAAUGAAUCACCCCCACAAAAAAGCUCUAUAUUUCUAUAUUGAUUUCCCUGCAGAUUUUUUAAAAUUAUAGCAUUCACAGCCACAGAACUAAUUAUAUUUUAUAUUUUCUUUGAAGCCACACUAAUUCCUACCCUAAUUAUUAUUAUCACCCGCUGAGGGAACCAACCAGAACGCCUCAAUGCAAGCUCAUAUUUCCUAUUGUACACACUAGUAGGGUCCCUUCCUCUACUUGUUACACUUGUCUACACUUUAAAUACUUCAGAUUCUCUAAAUAUGCUAGUAAUGAUAUUUACUGACCAAGAACUGUUAGCCUCCUUAUCCAAUAAUCUUAUAUGACUAGCAUGUAUUAUGGCCUUUAUAGUAAAAAUAACUCUAUUCGGACUUCACCUGUGACUCCCAAAAGCCCAUGUAGAAGCCCCUAUUGCCGGCUCAACAGUACUUGCAGCGGUACUCCUAAAACUAGGCGGCUGCGGUAUAAUACGGCUUACCCUUAUCCUCAGCCCCCUAACAGAAUAUAUAGCCUACCCCUUCCUCACACUAUCCCUAUGAGGGAUAGUUAUGACAAGCUCCAUUUGUCUACAAACCGAUGUAAAAUCAGUUAUUGCCUACUCCUCUGUAAGCCAUAUACCACUUGUCAUCAUAGCUCUCCUAAUCCAAACCCCUUGAAGCUUUACAGGUGCCGUCACCCUUAUAAUUACCCAUGGAGUCACUUCAUCCCUGUUAUUCUGCCUAGCAAAUUCCAACUACGAGUGAGUCCAAAACGGAAUCAUAUACUUACCUGAGGCCUUCAAAUACUCCUCCCACUGAUAUAGCCUCAUGAUGACUUCUAGCAAAUCUCACUAAUCUUGCCUUACCCCUACCAUUAAUCUAGUAAGGGAACUCUCUGUGAUCAUGGCUUCAUUCUCCUGAUCAAACAUCACUAUUAUGCUUACAGGACUUAAUAUACUAAUUACAACCCUCUACUCCCUACAUGUACCAAUCACAACACAAUGAGGGACACUUACAUAUUACAUUAACAGUUAAACCUUCCUUUACACGAGAAAAUACAUUAAUAUUUAUACAUGUUACACCUAUUCUUCUAUUAUCCUAAAUCCUAAAAUUAUUAUGGGCUUUACAU
rnacentral:lncRNA from 1 species